rnacentral:lncRNA from 1 species
AUCAUCACGCACCUCCACACGCUCCACCCUAUAAUCCGGUCAGAAGAGGAAGGCGAUGAUGAACUCGCAGCCUUUCCCUUUCCUUUCCCACCAUCUGCUUCUGGAGCAUCAGCAACCGGAGCAAUAUCUGGCACCGGUGCCGGAGCAGGUGCCGGAGGAGGAAUAUCAGUUCCGAAAAUGGCUUCAGGAAGGAGCACCCAGUCCACCUGGUAAAUGGCAACAGGAUCCGUCGAAUGCACACUGCUGCUCACUUUUGUGUUAGUCCAACCGGACCCAAUACGAACGGUGCCGGAGGUAUCUGUGAAGUUCAGCGUGUACUGACCUCCGGCGAGCGUGUUAACAGGGCCGGCGCCGCUCAGGUUCUUGAAGUCUGAAAGCGAGUAGUAAUGUGGCAGCGCGUGGAAAAGACAGAGCUGUUUGAGCUGAUCGGCGGUGAGGUUUGACAGGGAGGGUUUUUUCAGGGAAGUAAAUGCUUUGUCUUUGGGUACAAACAGAGUGAUUCCUUCUUCUGUGUUGUUGGCUUGAUUUUGUAGGGUUUCGAUGACUUUGGUUGAUUCAAGGUAUUUAAGGAAGGUAGAGAAAGGACCAGCGACGCUCAGGAGCUCGGUGAGGUUAACGUAGUCCGGCGCUGGUGCCGGUGCCGGAGUUGGUGUCAAGAUAAUCGGCGGUGACUCGGCGGCCAAUGUUGCUGCUUGUGCAUAUGCAAACAGGAGU